UUUGGAGGACCAUAGCGGCAACCAUCUCACCCAACAUCCGAACCGCCAAAAUCCCUAAAUUCACUCCGGAAUCGCCGUAUUUUUCUUCACCGAGUAAAAGUUCUCAUCGUUAUCAUAAAAAAUUUCGUAGAUUUGUAAAGGAUUUGCAGCAGCAUGUCUAAACGGGUUCUCUGCAAAUUCUUUGCUAAUGGUGCAUGUCUAAAAGGGGAACACUGUGAGUAUUCACAUGAUUGGAAGGCCCCACCUAAUAAUAUAUGUACGUUCUACCAGAAAGGAGUUUGUGCUUAUGGCACUCGAUGUAGAUAUGAUCACAUCAAAGUUUCUCGGUUACAGUCGCCGGCUUUACCUUCAUCAGUUGAGCUUUCUUCAGCCAAGGAGGUUUCUACUAGAGCUGUGACAUUAGGUUCCACUGCUUUUACUGGUGUUAGUGUUGAACAUUCAUCUUAUAACUUUCCACUUCAUCCUCCUAGUAUACCAGCAUGGGGAGAGAAUUCUGGGAAUUGUGAUAAUCUAGUAACUCUACAAGGCGAUGAUGAUUUGGCAGACUUUAGGGAUGUAGAUCCUGCUGACCAACCAAUAUGCUCUUUUGCUGCUGCCGGGGAUUGUCCACAUGGUGUGAGUUGCCCUAGAGUUCAUGGGGAUCUUUGUCCUACCUGUGGGAAGCAUUGCUUGCAUCCUUUUAGGCCUCAAGAAAGAGAAGAACACUUGAACACAUGUGAAAAAAGGCAAAAACAUUUAGAAGCAUUAACACAUAGUCAAGAAAUAGAAUGCAGUGUUUGUCUUGAGAAGAUCCUCUCAAAACCUACGGUUGCUGAACGUAAAUUUGGAAUAUUGUCAGAGUGUGAUCAUCCAUUUUGUAUAGCAUGCAUUAGGAAUUGGCGUAGUACUUCACGAUCAUCUGGCAUGGAUGCUAAUUCUGCAUUAAGAUCCUGCCCUAUAUGUCGGAAGCUUUCAUACUUUGUGAUUCCUAGUGUCAUUUGGUAUUCCUCAAAAGAUGAUAAGCAAGAAAUUGUUGACAGUUACAAGUCCAAGCUGAGAUCUAUUGAUUGCAAGCACUUUGACUUUGGGAAUGGGACCUGCCCAUUUGGCACCAGUUGUUUUUAUAAGCAUGCUUAUCGUGAUGGUCGUCUUGAGGAAGUUUCCCUUCGCCAUCUUGGAGCAGAAGAUGGAAAUAUAGUUAUUGCCAAAAAUGUUAGGCUCUCCGAUUUUCUUAGUAAUAUGCGACUAAGAUGACCAAAGCUUUGAGAGAUCUAGAGUGCCCAGGUUUUUUGUAUCAUUCUCUCAUGCAUCCAGCAUAAAACUACUAAGUUGAUGGAUUAAGAUUGCUUUUAUUAAGAUAUAAUAGUUUUCCCCUCAAAUGUAGCAUCCAGUUCCAGGUUCAGAGAUUCGUUGGCAUAUACCGAAUUUUGAAUGUGUAUCAAAGACUGAAAUAAUCUAUGAAAUUUACAUCGAUGUGUGGGGUAGUAGUAAUUGUGUGGUUUAGAGGUGACGAAUGCCAUGCAAUAUCGGCACUCUAUAGACCUGGACACCUGGUUGAAAAUAAACAUUCAUUGUUGUCGAUGACAUUGAGAUUGCGCCGAAUUUGCAAUCUUUUAUAGCACAUGACUGCGGGUGUUGUUACAGGUGGUAAAAAUGUAACAUUUCUUGCGGAAUUGUGGAUUGUAAGACAUUUUUUGAUGGGGCUGUGAGGUUUUUAAUUAACUUAUGCCCCCCAGAUUUAUCUAGACUUUGUAAAUUAAGUGUGUUUGGCAUUUUAAAGACACUAAUUGUUUAGCAUUGUGGUGAUAAAAGUUGGCGUAGCAAA